rnacentral:rRNA from 1 species
UACGAGAGCCUCGAGCGUUAUCCGGAAUUAUUGGGCGUAAAGGGUGCGUAGGUUGUUCUGUUAGUCUUUUGUUAAAGCCCCGGGCUCAACCUGGGAAUCGCGAAGGAAACGGCAGAACUUUGAAAGUGUGAGAGGCGUACGGAACUCAUGGUGUAGGGGUGAAAUCCGUUGAUAUCAUGGGGAACACCAAAAGCGAAGGCAGUACGCUGGCGCAUAUUUGACACUGAAGCACGAAAGCGUGGGUAGCGAAUGGG